rnacentral:rRNA from 1 species
UACGAAGGGGGCUAGCGUUGUUCGGAUUUACUGGGCGUAAAGCGCACGUAGGCGGAUCGUUAAGUCGGGGGUGAAAUCCUGGAGCUCAACUCCAGAACUGCCUUCGAUACUGGCGAUCGUUGAGUCCGGAAGAGGUGAGUGGAACUCCUAGUGUAGAGGUGGAAUUCGUAGAUAUUAGGAAGAACACCAGUGGCGAAGGCGGCUCUCUAGUACGGUACUGACGCUGAGACGCGAAAGCGUGGGAGCGAACGAGG